rnacentral:rRNA from 1 species
UACAGAGACUGCAAGCGUUAUUCGGAUUCACUGGGCGUAAAGGGUGCGCAGGCGGCCAAGUGUGUGAGGCGUGAAAGCCCGGGGCUUAACCCCGGAAUUGCACCUCAAACUACAUGGCUAGAGCAUUGGAGAGGGUAGCAGAAUUCAUGGUGUAGCAGUGAAAUGCGUAGAUAUCAUGAGGAAUACCAGAGGCGAAGGCGGCUACCUGGAUAAUUGCUGACGCUGAGCCGCGAAAGCCAGGGGAGCGAACGGG